UACGAGGGGGGCGAGCGUUGUUCGGAAUUAUUGGGCGUAAAGCGCGCGCAGGCGGUCCGGUAAGUCUCCGGUGAAAUCGCCCGGCUCAACUGGGCGGGUGCCGGGGAGACUGGCGGACUUGAGGAGCCUAGAGGCCGGUGGAACUCCCGGUGUAGUGGUGAAAUGCGUAGAGAUCGGGAAGAACACCAGUGGCGAAGGCGGCCGGCUGGGGGUGUCCUGACGCUGAGGCGCGAGAGCGUGGGGAGCAAACCGG
rnacentral:rRNA from 1 species